UGGGGAAUAUUGCACAAUGGGCGCAAGCCUGAUGCAGCCAUGCCGCGUGUGUGAAGAAGGCCUUCGGGUUGUAAAGCACUUUCAGCGAGGAGGAAGGUGGUGAGCUUAAUACGCUCAUCAAUUGACGUUACUCGCAGAAGAAGCACCGGCUAACUCCGUGCCAGCAGCCGCGGUAAUACGGAGGGUGCAAGCGUUAAUCGGAAUUACUGGGCGUAAAGCGCACGCAGGCGGUUUGUUAAGUCAGAUGUGAAAUCCCCGGGGCUCAACCUGGGAACUGCAUUUGAAACUGGCAAGCUAGAGUCUCGUAGAGGGGGGCUAGAAUUUCCAGGUGUAGCGGUGAAAUGCGUAGAGAUCUGGAGGAAUACCGGUGGCGAAGGCGGCCCCCCUGGACGAAGACUGACGCUCAGGUGCGAGAGCGUGGGGAGC
rnacentral:rRNA from 1 species